UAGCCGUAAACGAUACUCGCUAGGUGUCGGCCACGGUGCGACCGUUGUCGUUGCCGUAGGGAAGCCGUGAAGCGAGCCACCUGGGAAGUACGGCCGCAAGGCUGAAACUUAAAGGAAUUGGCGGGGGAGCACCACAACGGGUGGAGCUUGCGGUUUAAUUUGGAUUCAACGCCGGAAAUCUUACCGGGACCGACAGCAACAUGAAGGCCAGGCUGAAGACUUUGCCGGAUUAGCUGAGAGGAGGUGCAUGGCGUAGUCGUGU
rnacentral:rRNA from 1 species